CAUGUGGAGUAACUCUGCUUUUGCUGCUCCUUGGCACUGGCUUGACAUGGUGUCUUGUUAGCGCUUUGUAGGACAGUUGGUUGCCUGUGAACAACUAACUUGAGAGAAGAGACUGUAGAGUUUGAUGUCAGCCUAGUCCUGCUGUGCCAAGAGGGAUAGGGCUCAUGUUCCAUCUGGGCUGCUGGAAAAAUCUGUCACCUAUCUGCCAGAUUCCUUGGAGAGGAAAAUGCACUUGCUGGAUGAAGAAAAAAUGAUCUGGAAAAAAGAAGACAAAGAGCAUCUCUCUAGGAUGGAGCACAGCCAUGAUCCAAAGCUACACAGUGUCAAGCCUCCACCUUCACUCCAAGUGCCUGCAUUGGCCAGUGGCCCAUACUAUGUUUGGACAGCACUGGUGAGAACAAUUGUGAAUUUUACCCCUUCCUGAAAUCAGUGUUGCUCUGGACAACCCUUACCUUGCCCUCUGACUGGCCUUUGGACCUCUGGCUUACAAGAUGGUGUAACUUCUGCUCCUCUCAGCAUGCUGGAUAUUCUAAUCUGGUUGUCACAGCUUUCCUUAGCAGCUUGUACAAUGCUCCCGUGGGUCUUGUGCCUCAUGAGAUUGGUGGCAAAAUUGUGAUGUGGAGCUAGAAUUAAGGAAAGCACUUUCAAAAAGCCCCAGAAACUUGCCUGGUUUCAUGGAUCAUUAGAAACUUUAAACUCUUGCCACACAUGUUGAAAGAUUUGCUUAAGUCAAUGAAGUCUUUAGAGUGAACCUCAUCAGGCAAAAUUGGUGGUUCCUCUGAGAAUCCAGAAGAGCAUUACCAGUUUGAAGUAGCUUUUGCUAUGAGAUUUCUCUGAUUCACUCGGAGCUGACACAGUAGAGCUGUGGAGCAACAUGAGGGAAAAUACUUAAAUGAUCUACAAAGCAAAACCACAGAAUUUUGUGAAGUUAUCAUUAGAGCUGUGUUGAAAACUAGAUGGUUUUUUGAAAGGAGCAGGGAAAUAUGACACUAAGGUCUGCAAAUCUGCCUUACUUUGAUUGGCACAGAAAGAAGCUCAAGCCUGGAAACUUCACCAACUGCUAAGUCUCAUCAAGAGAACUUGGACCAGCCAUUAUUCCUGCAGCUACAUGUUCAACUUCCCAGUCUUGAGCCAGAUCCUAUAUGAAGAAAUACACAAUUGGAGCAGUCCUUGUCUUGAAGAGUCUCCUCUGUGUUCAUUCAGCCUUCCAAGAGCUUUGUUAUCCAAACUUUAUUGAAAAUAAUUUGUACCUUUAAUCUGCUUUGAAAAUCUUAGCUGUGGGAGGCUGAUAACGUCUGAUAUCUAAAAAUGAGAGCUGUUGAGAAAAUGUGGGAUUAAAAUGGGCUUCAUCUACAAAGAAACCUGAGGCAUUUUGUUUGGACCCUCCUUUAAAAGCUGUGCCUGCAGUACUCCUAAUGCUGUAAUUUCAAAUAUUUCAGUGACCUCCUUCUGAAGGUUUUCCAUAGAUUCUAAUCCUGGUACUUCAGUAUUAUUUUGGUUUUACUGUUUCAGUGUCCCUGUGUUCCUGUUGGGCAGGUUUGCCUGACCAAGUGCCCAUACUGAAUGACACUUAAAGAUUCCUGAGAUGCCUGUGCUGUUCUUUUCCUUGUUUCUUUUCCAGUGGAGAGCUUCCAUCAAACCAGAGGUGGCUGCAGAUACAGGAGUAAAGGAACAUGAGGCAAUUGAAUUACAAGACCUGUAAUACUGGAGUGGCUUUUUCAAAUGGGUAUACUACUGGCUUUGGCUUUUUUUCCUUAUCCAGAAGAAAAUUACCUUUUCUGUGGAGAAAUCCCAUCUUUCAGCUUUCUGUACCCCAACAGAUGCAUGUGGAAAGGUGUUUUACUCUGGAAAUGAUUCUUACCCACAGGGAUGGUGGGACAUUGGUUCAAUUGGUUUCCAUUUCUCUCAGAAUUGUCACCCCUUACUUUCAGUGCUUGAAACCAAGACAAGCUUGUGAAAACAGCUCCUGCUGUUUUCUGUCUUUGUAGGGCAAAUCAGACAAAGGGGAACCACACCUCUUAGGAUUCCAUCUAGAAUUUGGAUCCCACAGGAUUUAAUUCUCAUCUGGCCAGUUCCUCCCCUGAAUUAAUCCCCACCAGCCAGGGAAGUCAAUCGAAGCACACCUGGGCUCCAGUACCCUACUCCAUGCUCAGAGUGCUUGGCUUCCACCAUCACCAGGCAUGGUGGAAGUACAACCUCCACAUAUAAACCCCUUCCUGAUAUCACCAAAGCAAGGGGACCAGAGCCUUAAAAUCCAAAUUAAAUGAACCUAAUUUCCUCUGAGAUGUUAAUGUGCCGCACUGAUUUCAAGUUAAUCAAAACAGAUGUUUUCAAAAUGCAUCAAACAGGAUGUAGAAAAUUUGGCUAUUUAAUGCAGAUUCAAAGCAAAUUCCUUACAACCACCACGGAAACCAUGGCUGUUUGCUCAGGCCUGCUCAGCCAGGCUGUGCUUUUUAAGUGCCACUUGCUGCCUCUGUACAUGGUUGCCUCCAUUCUGUGCACUUAUUUAAAGCUUGGUUAUACAGAGCCACUAAAGAUAGUUGGCCAAACCUUGUUUUUGGGUAAUUAAUGUAUCCUGCCAGUUCCUUAAAUAGAUGCAGAUCUUGUUCCUGUGUAGGAAGAAGACAGUUUGACGUGUAUUUUGUCAUCUCUUCUGGAAGCUUUGCUCUGAAAUUCAGAUAUUUUGCAUAAAAGAAUAACACAAACGGAAUUCAACUGAGGAGUUCAUGUCAGUAUUUUCAGAUUCUUUAUAUCUGUAUUUGCUCAGACUUGAUUGUAAACCUUUCAAUUCAAUACUAGCAAGAAGCAAAAAAGAGUUGUCUUAUUCCUUCUGAGGUAAAAUCAAUAUUUGAUCCACAACAUCCAUUUGUGUGGCUACCUGAUAUUAAAGGAGGCAAAGUCCAGUUAAUGCAACAACACUUUAGUUGGGGAUAAGGCAGUCUGAAUCCCCCUCUUAAAAUCUUUCUUACAUGUAUUAAUGGAUGAAGGAAAGAAAAAAAAUAAGUAGAAGAAAGAGUCUUGAUACUUCAGUGUAUAUUAAACCUGGUCUGCAGUUUUGCAUUUUUGUUGAUUUUUAUUGCAACUUAAUGAUUCUGGAAUGACCUAAUGGAGUAGAAUUUGAUGUCUACCAGCAUUUUUAAAAAGCACCAAGGUAAGCUGAGGAGUUUGGGAUUUCUACUUUUGAGAAGUACAACAACCUCUUUGGACAACUUAUCCCAGAGUUUGACCACUCUCACAAUAAAAAAAAAAAAAAAAAA
ensembl:lncRNA